CUCGAGUCUGAGAUGCAAAUUUUUCCUGCGCUGGGUGGUUGGUGUCAACAGAGGCCGAGAAAGAAGCUCUCGCUGUGAUUCCUUCCACUCUAGUUGGUACCGCGUGUUGCAGACACUAACUGGGACAGAACGUGGUGCUCCCUAGCUCCAUCGGAUGCGAGUUCUGGGCCUCUGAGCCUGUCUUUCUACAGCCUCAACUCAAACUCCUGAAGGUUGAGAGUGCAAGAAACUUGAAGGUUCUAGAGGUCAGCAGCUUCAUCCAAAGCAGAGAAGACACAGCAUGAGGAAUCUGAUGCAACUUGCUCAGCCUUUUGCCUUAAGGUCUGCGUGUCACUAACGCUGAUGCUGCAAGAACAUCUGGGAUGCUUCAGAUCGACAGCCUUCAGGAUGACAGCAUCAUGUCCGCUGUCACUUUGGAUUUGCUGUAGGUUAUCGGAGUAAUUAUCUGUGCAGAAAGGCAGCAGAGUGCUCAGGACCCAGCCCCUCCUAAGGUUCCAUCUUCCAACCUCUCCAAUUCGAAUACAGCUUCUAAGCCAAAUCACUACUUCCCACCAACUCCCACCCCCACCCACCACCCCUGUCCUCACCCUUUGAAAAUCCUC